GCUCGGUCCCUGCAUCGAUCCGUCCAUCUCAAAAUCGACGGUUGAUAUGACUUUCCCAAUCGCUUUGCCAAUCGAACGGGCUUCCAUCGAACGGGGUCUAAGUCAAUCCUUGUUCUCAUUGUCAGAUCCAUUUCUGUGUGGUUCCUACCCUUCUUGCGAGUUGCGACGAUUUCCAAUCGCUUGAGGUAUUUCUCCUAUGAUGGAAUUCGAGCUCAGAUUCAGUAAAUGCAGAUUUCUGAGAUGGACAAAAGAUGCCGGUAUUUUUCCAGAAAUCCGAUUAUGAAAUAGAGAUAAGUGACGCAGAUGGGAGAGAUUGCCAAGUUGGUGGGGAAUUUCUCCUCCGAAAUGACAGUGCGAAAGGUCCAAGUGCUGCAAUUGAGUUAAAGAUCCAAUCUCGCUAGAAAUUUGAUGGCCAGAUAAGUUGUUCCGACUUAUAUCUAGAUACUCCAAAUGCUUCAAAUGAAACAAUGAAGGAUGAACCUCGCUUCUGUUGAAAACAGUACCAAAUUGCAAAUGAUAAAUAGUUGAAGAGAGAUCAAGUUCUAUAACAUGACCUGUGACGUUGUUGCAUCCUACACCUUCCCAACUGCAACAGUCAUCGUCCGUCCAUGGAGAUAGCCGCCUGUCGACGUCAGGGAAGCCACUUCUCACGCUCAGCAGAGCCUUCCUUUCUUCCUCUAUGCAGAGUUGCAAAGAUCCAGAGAAAAAUAAGAGAGAAAUCCAGAAGAGGUAAAUAAGAAGGUUGAGUGCAGCAGCAGCCAUGAGAUGUUGCACCAAGAGUUCAAAGGGCAGAUCAACAGAAGCAUUAGCAGCAUUUUCUACCACUCACCCUUAUUUAAUAUAGAUAAAAUUAAUAGGAAAUAUAUGAUCAAUGGAUGUCACCAUCUGAAUUAAUUUUUUGCUUGGCUAUUUCUAUUAACUUGGAAUAAA